GCGCCGCGCGCAGGCGCAGAAGCGCAGGCCGGCCCUUGAGGAAGGCAUUGGCAGCACGCCGGCGCUGCUCGUAGUACUCCAUGUAGGCACAUCCCACUCUUGCACCCAGGGACACUGGACAGCACUUCGGCUCGCCGUUUGGGGGCCGUUUUCAACAGCAAGAUCAUCCACAGAAAUGCAAAAAACGUCGCACUAAAUAGACGCCCCCCCGCAAAGGACGUGGAUUUACAGCCUGAGCUGAAGCAACAAGGCAGAGAUCACCUUGUGUGACCUUCAGCCAGAAAUGGUGCACAUCGAGCCAUUCAGAUCUUUCACCGCUUGGCACACAUCCACAAAUGACCACAAAAGCACCAGGAGCAUUGAUUUUGGGGUACAAAUAAUUCUAGUGAGCGGGGAAAAUUGCAAACAUGGAAUCUGCAAAUAAAGAAGAUUGACUCUACUCACAACAAAAUAAAAACCUACCAAAUAGAGGAGGAGGGCCAUCAGAAACGACCUUAGCCUUAUUUGCAUUGCAUUACUGUUUUUCUUUUUGCAAGGAGAAUGCCUUUUAUCUAUUUCUCAUCUAUUUAUGACUUUGUUUUUUCUUUUGUGAGGAAGAUUGGCUCUGAGCUAACAUCUGCGCCCAUCUUCCUCUAUUUUUUGUAUGUGGGACGCCGCCACAGCAUGGCUUGGUGAGCGGUGUGUAGGUCCGUACCUGGGAUCCAAACCCACAAACCCUGGGCCGCCGAAGUGGAGCACGUGAACUUAACCACUGUGCCACCAGGCCAGCCCCACGACUUUAUAUUUCAAAAAGCAGAGGGGCACUGGGCUGUGUCUGGGUAUCUGAAACCUUAAGGGAUACUGGAAGUUCCCCUUCUCCUCUCCGGAUGGGCUGCCCCUCCCUUGCUCCCCCCGUUGGUGUUCUUUCAGGGGCCACACUGUGGAUGUGCCGUAGCAGCUUGGUCUGCCCAGAUGUGGACCAUUGGGUGAGAGAGAAAUAAACUUCUAUCUGCUUUAAGUUGCUGCUGUCUUGGACUUUCUAGCAACAGCAAAACUCAUCCCCAAAGAUGGAAUUCACCAAGAAUCACACCCGUUAACCAAGGCUGACAGGAUGCUUUGAUCAAAACCCUUAACAUGUGUGGAGGGCUUCUGGGCAUCAUUUGUCAUCUCAAUGAGCCUUCGCAGCCACCCUCUGAGAUGGGGGUCCUUUUGUUACAGAUAACCCCUCCCCCCCGAGACUUUGAAGGGUGAACUCACAUAGCUAGUCGGGAUUUGAACCCAGGACCGAUUUCAAGCGUCUGAGCUUCUCCGCAAAGAACAAAAUAUUCGCAUCUGGCCAAAAAUCAGGACACGGGUGCUGAAGUGAUUUAUUGUCAGAACUUGUUAGAAGGGUUUCCAAGUGGCUUCCAGGAAGCAUUCGAGACCCAGUGAGCGUCUUACGCUGUUAGCAUAUCUCAAUUUGGACGGGGCACACAGUGACUGGUGGCUGCCAUAUUGGACAGCACAGGUAUAGAGGGUCCAUCGCCCACCCCUGCAUCAACGCCGGCUCAUCUCCUAC